rnacentral:rRNA from 1 species
GACGAACGCUGGCGGCGUGCUUAACACAUGCAAGUCGAACGGAAAGGCCCAGCUUGCUGGGUGCUCGAGUGGCGAACGGGUGAGUAACACGUGGGUGAUCUGCCUCUAACUUCGGGAUAAGCUUGGGAAACUGGGUCUAAUACCGGAUAGGACAAUCGUUUAGUGUCGGUUGUGGAAAGUUUUUUCGGUUAGGGAUGAGCCCGCGGCCUAUCAGCUUGUUGGUGGGGUAAUGGCCUACCAAGGCGUCGACGGGUAGCCGGCCUGAGAGGGUGGACGGCCACAUUGGGACUGAGAUACGGCCCAGACUCCUACGGGAGGCAGCAGUGGGGAAUAUUGCACAAUGGGCGCAAGCCUGAUGCAGCGACGCCGCGUGGGGGAUGACGGCCUUCGGGUUGAAAACCUCUUUCGACAGGGACGAAGCUUUGGUGACGGUACCUGUAUAAGAAGCACCGGCUAACUACGUG